AGGGUAAAGCUGAGAUGGUAUAUAACUGUAGCAUCCGUAUGUUGAGCACAUUGCAUCUCGUAGCUGUGAAAAUAGCACCUUUAAAGGCAACAACAAUGUUGAAAAUUCCUGGGACUUGCUUCGGCAAACAGAACUCUAAAAUGAACAAUCGAUAUUUCACAAUUUUGGGAAAUUUUAGGUUGUAUCUCUAACAAAAAGAUUCCUUUCCCAAAGGUGCGUUUUUGUAGCGGGAAGGGUGCUUCUAAAAAGACAAAGCACCCCUACUGCAACAGUUCUGGAUGUGUAACAAGGAAAAAGGUUGAGCAAUGUCAAUGGCCAUGCUGAUUUUGUUUGAUCUGAAAGCUGUUGCGCCGGCAAUAACCUUCAUGGUCAUUUGCAGUGAUAUCUUCAAAAAUCUGACAUCUAGCACACAUCGUACAGGAGUUGCCAUUUUCGUAAGUGUGGUAUUUAACUACGUCGAUAAGACACUCAUAUCGAUAGGCACUGCACAGUGGAAACUACUUCUAGAUGCGUAAUUCUGGAAGGACAAACGGAAGAGGAAAAAAAGAGGACACAACGAUAGUAAAAGACAUCUAAAAUUUUCUUUGAUUCAAAACGUGAUCUCUCAACUUUGAUGUCCACUGAAUUCCUUUCCGUGAUUGCAAACAUCAUUAAUGCAAUCAGUGAGCAAAUCUGGAGAGAGUGAUUCAUUUUAUAAUUUAGGAAUCCCGCAUGUUGCAAGAAAGACAGUAGGUGCUGAAUAUACUUUACUUAAGAUGAAA
rnacentral:lncRNA from 1 species